rnacentral:rRNA from 1 species
UACGUAGGGUGCAAGCGUUAAUCGGAAUUACUGGGCGUAAAGCGUGCGCAGGCGGUGAUGUAAGACAGAUGUGAAAUCCCCGGGCUCAACCUGGGAACUGCAUUUGUGACUGCAUCGCUGGAGUGCGGCAGAGGGGGAUGGAAUUCCGCGUGUAGCAGUGAAAUGCGUAGAUAUGCGGAGGAACACCGAUGGCGAAGGCAAUCCCCUGGGCCUGCACUGACGCUCAUGCACGAAGGCGUGGGGAGCAAACAGG